rnacentral:lncRNA from 1 species
GCCCAGAGUAUCUGUCAUUUUAUUCAGUGGAUACACAUUGUAAAGAUAAAUCUUACUAAUAAGGACAGAGGAGAAGGAAAUCUUAAAUUAUAGUGACUAUAAGGGCCAGGAAACACUGCAACAAUAACCAAGAACUUGCAGUCUUCCACAUUGUGAUAAAUAAGCCCUCCUCCCUGAACUUGCCAUUAUAUAUCUGCUGUUGGAGAACACACUCUUACUGA